UCCCUUGGACCUAGGCUGCUUCCUGAGAAGGAGUGCUGCAUUGCUAGAGAACCCCUUCACCAGUUGGACACUUUACAACUGAGCUUGACAGUGAGAACUGCAGGAAAUAUUUAGGAGAUGGGCAGAUACAUAGCUGCAUCCCUAGUUUACCCUGGACUGUGUUAAGAGCACUUUCAAAGCAACUGAUUGAACUCGAGGUGUUCUGUUCCUUCAAACACGGAUGUAAACUAUUUUCCUGAGAUAAUUAGCUCUGAUAUUUCUCCUCCUAAGGAUAGCUUGAAAGCAUAGUCACGACUAUUUUCACCAGCAAUGAACAACAGCCGCCUGCAUGACCUGCUCAUAAAAAUUUGCACUGCUGAAGGUGAACUACUGUUUCACACCUGCUAUGACAACAUCAAUUCUAGGAAAAUGUUUACCCGCAUAGCCCAUUUUUCAUCGGCCCAAAGGGGUGGAAGUCAGAAGGUACCGAAUCAGGACUAUAAGGUCAAGGUCUCAGAGUAGAUCUUCAGCAACCCACUAAACAGCAAGAAAGGUAUACUCAGGCACACUUACAACAAUGUAGGAGAUUUUUUGUGAUAUACAUUCAAUUCAGAUGAUUGUAUUUCAUGGCAUUACAAGUUUGAAAACAGAUUUUGAUUUCAUAUUUUAUUGGUUUUACCCAGGAUAAUUCAUCUAAAAUAAUAUUUUUUAAAGGCACCAACUGUUCAUCAACAAUUACACCUGCACAAAAGUAUAAAACCUUCAGAACAGCAACACAGAAGUACUACAUAUGCUUUGAAACAGCUGAUUACCCUGGCACUGUCUGCUCCUGCUUGAUUUUAUGGUCAGUUCUUAGUGCUGGUUACCCUCAAGCACUUGUGAGUCAUCAUGUCCAGGGAGGUGAAAUAAGCAGGACCCAGAGCUGACAGUUCUUUUGAUACAAUAAGCAACAUUUUAAUCUCAUUUUGAUACCUUCCAUUUCUUUAUUUUGCUUGUGUUAGUUACUCCACUCUGUGUAUGCACAAUCUUCUCUACUUAUCUCCAUUAUCAUUAACAUGGAGAAUGCCCAUUGAAAGAUUUGCUGUUUCUUUCCGAGCUUCAUUGUUCAUUCCUGAAUGUGAAUCAGAUAAUCCUUAGAUAAUUUGUGACUAAUUGUUUGAGAAAUACAAGCACCAUAUUUUAUCAUUCUUGUUUUAGCCAUCAGUAUAUGUAAAAUGCUUUGUUCACAGGAAUGCUAUUGAGGCAAACAUACUUUUGUAAUAAGAAUGUUCUUACUAAGAAUAAGAUUACAUAUGAAAGUAAUAAAAAUACAGAAGGCCAUAACAUUUACAGUACAUUGGGACAGUAAAGUUGUUCAUGCUAAAAUAUGUUUUCCUAUUUCACAAAUGUGCAUCUACACAGUAUUGUCUGAAAAAGCAGUGAAACUUGUUUGCUUAUGGCAACAGGUUUGUGUCUGGCACAGGAAACAAUUCCACAAAAGUGAUUUAAUAAUGACUUGGUUUUUCACAUAAAUUGACAUUGUCAGUCUAAGAAAAAAUAACUGCCUGGAACAAAGAAUAUGCUAGCAAGACUGGCACCAUGUGUCCUGUUGCUCAAGAACUUUUUGCUUUUCACUAAAGGUAAAAACUGAACUGUCACUUCUUUGCACUAAGUAAAUUGAAGCCUCAGUUACUCAGAAUGAUCACUCAUUCCUUGCCUUUACUAAGCGAGCUUUGAAAAAUAAGAUGGUGAAUAUUAAUUUAAAAUAAGGGUAAAUAUAUAUAUAUAUAUAUACAGCAGAAGAGUUUGAAAACAGCUGGAGAAAUCAGUGUGCUUUGAGGAGGAGACCAAAUGGUUGUUGUUUGUUUUCUGACCAAAAUAAAAAUCACAGGCAAAAUCGACUUGUAAAGAGCAUAAGCAAUACCGUACUGAUUAAUAGUAUGUCAUAGUACUUUUAUACUUCUCUCCUGUUUCCUGGUGCAGUUAUUAUGUCUUACAGAGUAGAUCGCAAAGAUAGUGCAAAUAUGUUUUCCUUACUUUCUGAUUGACAAGUUAGUGUGUAAAAUGAGAGCAUGUUGUGGAAUUUCUAUCUAACAUGAAGUAUUACAUCAACUGAUGCUUAACUUUUCUUCCUUUGUAUAGAAAAAUAAUCAGAUAAUCAAAGACUCCAGUCUCUGCUAGAGAGUAAUCCCUGAAAAUUUGACAAACAUACAACAGUUAUGUCCAUUGCAAGGAGUGGACCCCAUUAAAUUCUAAUGAAUG
ensembl:lncRNA